rnacentral:lncRNA from 1 species
CCCCUCCACCCCCUCCCCUCCUCCUCCUCUUUCUCCAAAUGGAGAGAGUUCUUUUUUUUCUUCUUCCAUCUCAUCUAUUGAAUCAAGGAGCUGCUGCGGCCGCUGCCCGCUGCACACACACAGAGCGGAGUCCCCAGGUCCCGGGAGUGAGAGAGGCGCGCUGCGCGGGGGCAGAAUGGUCCAGCGGGUCGGCGUGGAGCACAAGAAAGCAAAGUCCGGGACCGAGCAGCCACCGCGAACCCAGCAGCCAGAGCCCGAGCAGCAGCUUCAGGAGCCGCCACCGCCAGCAGCAGCAGCCGCGGGAGCAGCGGCAACGGCGGCUGCCCGGGCCCGGCAGCGCUGAGACCCGCCGGGCACCCUCCGACCCCGCGGCGGCGGCGGCUCUGCGCUUGCCCUCCGCGGCCGCUCGGGCGACUCGCGAGGCGCCGAGGGAGCCAGCGCAGCCGGCGGGAGCUGCAGGGAUUUGCUGGCGCUUUCUGCAGUGAAGGGGUCGCGGCG